rnacentral:lncRNA from 1 species
AGGCAUUGAAAAAUGUCGAAGGUGUCGCUAUUGGUGUUUGGCCUAACAAUAUUGCCAUUAAUUCCGACGAUGUCGAAGCAACUCCUUUUGCUAACUCCAAAUCAGAUGGUCAAGGGUCGGAGGUGGAAAUAUUAGUUGGAAAAAAUUGGAAUCCCUAAUUCCAAUCCACCGAAGAGAAGGGAAGUUUCUAUAAUCCCCAAUUUAACUUCACUGCCCAUAACUUGUCGUGCAAUCUAUUGGAGGGAGAUGUGCAUAUGUUGGAGAGGUAGAGUUUGACCAUGCUAUAUAAAGGUCUCUAAGAUUUCCUGAAUAAGGUUAUAAUGUUAGCAUGUUCGGUUAGUUUAAAAAUGAAAGAGUCUCCAAUGGCCGAAAAAAAGAAGAAAAACAAGUCCAAAAGCUCCAACAAGAAUUGAAUCACCUUCAAUUUGAUGUAACUGAGAUCGAUCAACUACAUUCGGAGGCAAAUGAGUGGUCCAAGAAGAAGGCAACCUUAUCCUUUCUUAUCAAGGAGAUAGACAACGAGCUUCUACAUCUAAAAGAAAGAGAAGACUGUUGAAGAUGGAUGAAGCUUCCUCUCUACCUAGUUUUAGUGUGUGUUUGAUGUAGAAAAUAUCUAGUUUGAUUUGAAGUGUGUAAUAGGUUUAGAUGAUCUUGUAUUUAG